AGAGUUUGAUUCUGGCUCAGAACGAACGCUGGCGGCGUGGAUAAGACAUGCAAGUCGAACGGAAUUUUAUUGGUAGUAAUACUAGUAAAAUUUAGUGGCGAACGGGUGCGUAACACGUGAGUAAUCUGCCGAGAAGUGGGGGAUAGCUCGCCGAAAGGCGAAUUAAUACCGCAUGUGACUAGUGGGGACAUCCCUGCGACGUCAAAGCCGUAAGGCGCUUCUUGAUGAGCUCGCGGCCUAUCAGCUAGUUGGUGAGGUAAUGGCUCACCAAGGCGAUGACGGGUAGCUGGUCUGAGAGGACGACCAGCCACACUGGAACUGAGACACGGUCCAGACACCUACGGGUGGCAGCAGUCGAGAAUUUUUCACAAUGGGGGAAACCCUGAUGGAGCGACGCCGCGUGGAGGAUGAAGGCCCUUGGGUCGUAAACUCCUGUCAUAAGAGAACAAGAAAGUGAUAGUAUCUUAAGAGGAAGAGACGGCUAACUCUGUGCCAGCAGCCGCGGUAAUACAGAGGUCUCAAGCGUUGUUCGGAUUCAUUGGGCGUAAAGGGUGCGCAGGCUGUGUGGUAAGUCGGGUGUGAAAUUUAGAGGCUCAACCUCUAAACUGCAUCUGAUACUGCCAUGCUAGAGGACUGUAGAGGAGAUUGGAAUUCACGGUGUAGCAGUGAAAUGCGUAGAUAUCGUGAGGAAGACCAGUGGCGAAGGCGAAUCUCUGGGCAGUUCCUGACGCUCAUGCACGAAGGCUAGGGGAGCAAACGGGAUUAGAUACCCCGGUAGUCCUAGCAGUAAACGUUGCACGUUUGGUGUGGGAGGAUUCGACCCCUUCCGUGCCGGAGCUAACGCGUUAAACGUGCCGCCUGGGAAGUACGGUCGCAAGAUUAAAACCUAAAGAAAUUGACGGGGGCCCGCACAAGCGGUGGAGUAUGUGGCUUAAUUCGAUCCACGCGAAGAACCUUACCUGGUCUUGACAUGCAUCUCUAAGUUGGUGAAAGCCAGCGACUCUCGCAAGAGAGAAUUUGCACAGGUGCUGCAUGGCUGUCGUCAGCUCGUGUCGUGAGAUGUUGGGUUAAGUCCCGCAACGAGCGCAACCCCUGUGAACUGUUGCCACUCUAGCUUCGGCUAGAAGCACUCGGUUCAGACUGCCCUGUGAAACGGGGAGGAAGGUGGGGAUGACGUCAAGUCAGCAUGGCCCUUACGACCAGGGCUGCACACGUACUACAAUGCCCAGAACAAAAUGAACCAAGACCGCGAGGUGGAGGAAAUCUAUAAAUCUGGGCCCAGUUCGGAUUGAAGGCUGCAACUCGCCUUCAUGAAGUUGGAAUCGCUAGUAAUGGCGCAUCAGCUACGGCGCCGUGAAUACGUUCCCGGGCCUUGUACACACCGCCCGUCACAUCAUGGAAGUCGCUUGUAUCCGAAGUCGCUGCGUUAACCCGUAAGGGAGACAGGUGCCUAAGGUAUGGGCGGUAACUGGGAUGAAGUCGUAACAAGGUA
rnacentral:rRNA from 1 species